AACGAACGCUGGCGGCAUGCCUAACACAUGCAAGUCGAACGAGACCUUCGGGUCUAGUGGCGCACGGGUGCGUAACGCGUGGGAACCUGCCCUUAGGUUCGGAAUAACUCCCCGAAAGGGGUGCUAAUACCGGAUAAUGUCUUCGGACCAAAGAUUUAUCGCCUUUGGAUGGGCCCGCGUUGGAUUAGCUAGUUGGUAGGGUAAAAGCCUACCAAGGCGACGAUCCAUAGCUGGUCUGAGAGGAUGAUCAGCCACACUGGGACUGAGACACGGCCCAGACUCCUGCGGGAGGCAGAGGGGGGGAAUAUGGAAUAGGGGACAAAGGCCUGAACCACCAUUCCCGCGGGAAUGAUGAAGGCAUUGGGGUUAAAAGGCUUUUUUCCCGGGGAGAAUAAUGACAGCACGGGAAAAAGAAGCCCCGCCUACCUCCAUC
rnacentral:rRNA from 1 species